rnacentral:rRNA from 1 species
GGGUUUGAUCCUGGCUCAGAACGAACGCUGGCGGCGUGCUUAACACAUGCAAGUCGAACGAGAAAGUUCUCUUCGGAGGAUGAGUAGAGUGGCGCACGGGUGAGUAACACGUGGAUAAUCUGUCUUCGGGUACGGGAUAACCAAUCGAAAGGCUGGCUAAUACCGUAUGAAGUUUUUGGCUCUUGGGUAAAAAAUGAAAAGGUGCCUCUGAUACAAGCAUCUGCCUGAAGGUGAGUCCGCGUACCAUUAGCUAGCUGGUGGGGUAAGAGCCUACCAGGGCGACGAUGGAUAGCUGGUCUGAGAGGAUGAUCAGCCACACUGGAACUGAAACACGGUCCAGACUCCUACGGGAGGCAGCAGUGAGGGAUUUUGCGCAAUGGGGGAAACCCUGACGCAGCAACGCCGCGUGAGUGAAGAAGGCCUUUGGGUCGUAAAGCUCUGUCAACAGGGAAGAAGUUAUCAUGUACGAAGAGUGUGUGGUAUUGACGGUACCUGUGGAGGAAGCACCGGCUAACUCCGUGCCAGCAGCCGCGGUAACACGGGGGGUGCAAGCGUUAUUCGGAAUUAUUGGGCGUAAAGGGCGCGCAGGCGGUCUUGCCAGUCAGAUGUGAAAGCCCGGGGCUCAACCCCGGAGGUGCAUUUGAAACAGCAAGACUUGAGUACAGGAGAGGAAAGCGGAAUUCCUGGUGUAGAGGUGAAAUUCGUAGAUAUCAGGAGGAACACUUAUGGCGAAGGCAGCUUUCUGGACUGAUACUGACGCUGAGGCGCGAAGGUGUGGGUAGCGAACAGGAUUAGAUACCCUGGUAGUCCACGCCGUAAACGUUGAUCACUCGUUGUUGGCAAUAUAUCGUCAGCGACUCAGCAAAAGCUUUAAGUGAUCCACCUGGGGAGUACGAUCGCAAGGUUGAAACUCAAAGGAAUUGACGGGGGCCCGCACAAGCGGAGGAGCAUGUGGUUUAAUUCGAUGAUACGCGAGGAACCUUACCCGGGCUUAAAUGUAGGUUGCAUUUCCGUGAAAACGGAAUUUCCUUCGGGACCGCCUACAAGGUGCUGCAUGGUUGUCGUCAGCUCGUGCCGUGAGGUGUCGGGUUAAGUCCCAUAACGAGCGCAACCCCUAUCUUUAGUUGCCAGUCCCGGCCUAGUCCGGGAGGGACUCUAAAGAAACUGCCCGCGCAAGCGGUGAGGAAGGUGGGGAUGACGUCAAAUCAGCACGGCCCUUAUGUCCGGGGCUACACACGUGCUACAAUGGCCGGUACAGUGGGCAGCUUAUGCGCGAGCAUUUGCUAAUCCCUAAAACCGGUCUCAGUCCGGAUUGGAGUCUGCAACCCGACUCCAUGAAGCUGGAUUCGCUAGUAAUCGCAUAUCAGCCAUGGUGCGGUGAAUACGUUCCCGGGCCUUGUACACACCGCCCGUCAAGCCAUGGAAGCUGGGGGUACCUGAAGUCCGUAACCGUUAAGGAGCGGCCUAGGGUAAAACCGGUGACUGGGGCUAAGUCGUAACAAGGU